AGCGAUAUUGGUGAGGUUCAAUCCGAAGACGGAUUUACUGAUGCAGCUAGUAAAGUGCGAUCUCAGAUUGAGCCGCGCCAAUAUCACU
rnacentral:pre_miRNA from 1 species